UUAGCAUGGAAUAAUGGAAUAGGACGUGUGGUUCUAUUUUGUUGGUUUCUAGGACCGCCGUAAUGAUUAAUAGGGACAGUCGGGGGCAUCAGUAUUCAAUUGUCAGAGGUGAAAUUCUUGGAUUUAUUGAAGACUAACUACUGCGAAAGCAUUUGCCAAGGAUGUUUUCAUUAAUCAGGAACGAAAGUUAGGGGAUCGAAGACGAUCAGAUACCGUCGUAGUCUUAACCAUAAACUAUGCCGACUAGGGAUCGGACGAUGUUAUAAUUUGACUCGUUCGGCACCUUACGAGAAAUCAAAGUGCUUGGGCUCCAGGGGGAGUAUGGUCGCAAGGCUGAAACUUAAAGAAAUUGACGGAAGGGCACCACCAGGGGUGGAGCCUGCGGCUUAAUUUGACUCAACACGGGGAAACUCACCAGGUCCAGA
rnacentral:rRNA from 1 species